GACGAACGCUGGCGGCGUGCCUAAUACAUGCAAGUCGAGCGAAUCAAGAGGAGCUUGCUCCUCUUGGUUAGCGGCGGACGGGUGAGUAACACGUGGGCAACCUGCCUGUAAGACUGGGAUAACUUCGGGAAACCGGAGCUAAUACCGGAUAAUUCUUUCUCUCUCAUGAGGGAAAGCUGAAAGACGGUUUCGGCUGUCACUUACAGAUGGGCCCGCGGCGCACUAGCUAGUUGGUGAGGUAACGGCUCACCAAGGCGACGAUGCGUAGCCGACCUGAGAGGGUGAUCGGCCACACUGGGACUGAGACACGGCCCAGACUCCUACGGGAGGCAGCAGUAGGGAAUCUCCCGCAAUGGACGAAAGUCUGACGGAGCAACGCCGCGUGAGCGAUGAAGGCCUUCGGGUCGUAAAGCUCUGUUGUUAGGGAAGAACAAGUAUCGGAGUAACUGCCGGUACCUUGACGGUACCUAACCAGAAAGCCACGGCUAACUACGUGCCAGCAGCCGCCGUAACAC
rnacentral:rRNA from 1 species